GACGUAGGGCGCGAGCGUUGUCCGGAUUUAUUGGGCGUAAAGAGCUCGUAGGUGGUUUGUCGCGUUGUUCGUGAAAUCUCACGGCUUAACUGUGAGCGUGCGGGCGAUACGGGCAGACUAGAGUACUGCAGGGGAGACUGGAAUUCCUGGUGUAGCGGUGGAAUGCGCAGAUAUCAGGAGGAACACCGGUGGCGAAGGCGGGUCUCUGGGCAACAACUGACGCUGAGGAGCGAAAGCGUGGGGAGCGAACAGG
rnacentral:rRNA from 1 species